rnacentral:rRNA from 1 species
CGGUCGGCCGCUACAGUGCGAGUCGAGCGAUGAAACCCGGCGUGCUUGGCGGAUUAGAGGGGAGGGGGGAGAAAGGCGGGAGUGACCUGCCCUUAACUCUGGGAUAAGCCUGGGAAACUGGGGCUAAUACCGGAUAGGAGCGCCUACCGCAUGGGGGGUGUUGGAAAGAUUUAUCGGCUUUGGAUGGACUCGCGGCCUAUCAGCUUGUUGGUGAGGUAAUGGGUCGCCAAGGCGACGACUGGUAGCCGGCCUGAGGGGGGGACCGGCCGCACUGGGACUGAUACACGGCCCAGACUCCUACGGGAGGGAGCAGUGGGGAAUAUUGCACAAUGGGCGAAAGCCUGAUGCAGCGACGCCGCGUGAGGGAUGACGGCCUUCGGGUUGUAAACCUCUUUCAGUAGGGAAGAAGCGAAAGUGACGGUACCUGCAGAAGAAGCACCGGCUAACUACGUGCCAUCAGCCGCGGUAAUACGUAGGGUGCGAGCGUUAUCCGGAAUUAUUGGGCGUAAAGAGCUCGUAGGCGGUUUGUCGCGUCUGUCGUGAAAGUCCGGGGCUUAACCCCGGAUCUGCGUGUGGGUACGGGCAGACUAGAGUGCAGGGGGGGAGACUGGAAUUCCUGGUGUAGGCGGUGGAAUGCGCAGAUAUCAGGAGGAACACCGAUGGCGAAGGCAGGUCUCUGGGCUGUAACUGACGCUGAGGAGCGAAAGCAUGGUGAGCGAACAGGAUUAGAUACCCUGGUAGUCCAUGCCGUAAACGUUGGGCACUAGGUGUGGGGACCAUUCCACGGUUUCCGCGCCGCAUCUAACGCAUUAAGUGCCCCGCCUGGGGAGUACAGGCGCAAGGCUAACACUCUGAGGAAUUGACGGGGCGCCCGCACAAGCGGCGGAGCAUGCGGAUUAAUUCGAUGCAACGCGAAGAACCUUUACCAAAGGCUUGACAUGUUCUCGAACGCCUUACAGAUACUUGUUUCCCCUCUUGACAGCGGGUUCACAAGUGGGUGCAUCGUUUGUCGUCAGCUCGUGUCGUGAAGAUGAUGGGGGUAAGUCCCCUCAACGUAGCGCAAUCCCUCGGUUUCAAUGUUUGCCCAGCAAAGUAACUGCUUGGUGGACUUCUAUGGGUGAGCACUGGCCUGCGGGUCGAAGCUACGGUCAAGGAAAGGGUGUAGACAUGGAACGGAUGAUCCAAUUCGAGUUACAAUGAACCGCCCGGUUGUAGAUGAGUCUAA